UCUCAUAUCGGCCGCGACCCC
rnacentral:rRNA from 1 species